UAAAGAAAUUAAUUCACCUAAGGUUUAGCCCAUGAAGUAUUAGAAGAAAUAAGAUUGUGUGGGUGCACAGGUGGCUUCACUGGGAAGCUAAUGAAGUGUAAGCUACAACAGGGUUCCCCAACCUAUGCUGAGAUCAGAGCACAAUCUCUACAGGAACUUACCGAAGGUUCUAGGAGCUCUGUCUGGAUGGAUAAACUAGGGAGCUGAAUACAAAAGAGACCAGGUGAGUUGCUCUUGAAGCUCACAAAUUCAGAUCCAGCCCAUUCCCAGCCAGCUUCUACCCGCUGAACCCCCAUCCUCUUACCACUGAACUUUAGGGCAUACCUGCAGAUUUUGUUUACAGAAAUGAAUCCCUUCAUUCAACUUGUACUGAUUGAGAGCCUUCCAUAAUAAAAAUAAAUAUUUGUUGAGUUGUACACUGUAUGUCAUAAAUUAUGCUUUAGUGUUUUAUAUGCUUUUAUGAAUUUAAUUCUCCUAGUCACAUUAUGAUGUUUAUAUUAUUAUUUCUCCAUCUUCUAAAGGGAUUCUGAAAGUUAGAAAUUUGCCUGAAUUCUACACAGAAAGUAUCCUGAGGAAAUAGGAUUAAAACCCAUGCAGUCUCACCCUAGAUUCUACAUUCCUAAACACUGAACGUGUGCCCGUCACUGUGCUAGGAGCAGGUCAGGUGGGCAACAAUGAUGACCAAAAGAGUCGUCAUCUCUGUCCUCCUGACUGACACAUGCCUUAAAAUAAUGAUUGACAAUGAUCUCCAGCCACAGGGGGGUGCUUACAACCUUAUUCCCACCCUAAAACCUGCAACUCAGUCCUCCUUGAUCUUUUUGUGAUUGGGCCUUUGUUACUAUUUUCACAUCUGUUCAAAUUUAACUUCCUCAGACAGGCCACUCCAGAUCAUCCAAUAACUUAAGCUCCUAAAUUAUUCAUAGACACAUUUAACACUGUGUGGCAUUUUUCUUGUUUCUUGUAAACAAUCUGGUAUUAUUUUCUCCACAGAGCUUAUUCGAGAGAGAGAGAGAGAGAGAGAGAGAGAGAGAGUGUGUGUGUGUGUGUGUGUGUGUGUGUGUGUGUG